AGUUUUGUUUCUCUAAUAAUAGUAUCUAGCAGAGCAGACACAUCACUAACUCUCAUGAUUCUUUUCUUUAUUUUAUUUUACACAUUCUUGAUUCUUGACACUUUCUAUAAAGGGCUCUUUUUUCGUUAAAGAGUAUUCCGAAUCUACAAUGGAGGAGAAAAAACUAGAUUUUGAUGCUCCAUUCCUAUCCGUGAGGCGGAUUCCGACUAAACCAGAGGAUCCAAGCGAAUCAGAAAACACCGAGACGAAGACGACGACGACGAGAAGGAGAAAAGUCAAAGAUUCGUGUCAUGAAACAGAGCAUGAAAGUCUGAUUCGGUUAUUACAAGACCGGAGUUUCGAUCAUGUAAUGGAACCAUCUUCAGUUCCAUUUACAUGGGAACAAACACCUGGAAAGCCAAAAGAUCAGCAUACAGUAAUCGAAGAAUUAGACCUAAUCAAAUCCUUGGAGAUGGUUUCUUCAGCAGCAAGUUUCUCUGCUAAUUGCAGUUCGAAUGGAGUCAGUGAGUUCGAGAAUAAUGGAGAUGGAGACAGAUCGAGUAAUGUAUCAAGAGAUGAUGACGUCAUUCUUGAGUACCGUGAUCUCAUCAUGUCGAGAUUUUUACUAGCUGCGGAAGCAAUCGCCAUGAAAGAGAAGAAAGAAGCUUCUCGCGUUAAAGAGGAGAGGAAGAAGAAACAGAACCUUGCCCUGCAGAGAGUCUCCAUGGCAAUUAAUCAAGAUAUGAACAUUGACAACGAUGAUGAUGAUGUUGAUGAUCAUAAUGCAACAGUUUACUCAAAAGAUCCCAAGAAAGCUCAGUUAGGGUUCUCGCCGUGGCUCUGUUCCAAGAACUCAAUGGAUGUUCUUAACCCGGUUCUCUCUCGGAUCAAGACAUGUCAGGAUAUUGGGGUAAAAUCGGGGAAUAUCAUAAACCCGAAACCACUAGAUUCUGUUUACAAAACCAAAUCAACAUCGCCAAGAAUCUUGAAAUCGAACAAGGUUAUGAGUGAGUCUCAAGAACUCUAUGCAACACCAAGAUUUUCUAAAGAUAUUUCCAAAAUUUCUCUACCGAAAGCUGGCGAAACACUCCGAAUUCAGGGGAAUCUUUCGAGGUUGCAAAGAACAACUGAUCAGAAUCAGAGACAUGAAAUUAGGUUUCUUGUGGAAGAAGUAAAAAGAAGGAGCAACAUAAACAAAUGCAGGGCACAAAAUAUCUCUAUUCCUCAACCUCCAUUGCCUAAAACUCCUUCGGAGUCAUGGCUUUGCCGGACAGUUCCAAGAAGCUCUGCCGCCUCCUCCGUCGUAUCCGGUCAAGCCGCCCGUUUCAGGAAGAAGAUGGAGGAAAAGACUAAUUCUCAGUCUAUAAAAUGGGAAACGAUUGUGAAAAGAUCGUAUAAACACCAUGAUCAUGUUCGCUACUCAGAGGACCUCAUUAUCGUUCAUCCCUCUCGUUAAGCCAAAUCCUAAAACCGGAAUCUUCUUUUCUAUGCUGAGAUUCGUUUUCGGUUAUUAAUGGAGAUGGAUAGGGUGAACAUAGCGGUUAGUCGGGAAGUAAUGGAAGCUAUGGAAAGAUUUUGAGAACAAGGAGUGUAUUUGAUAUCAUACAUUCUAACCAAAAAGGUGAAAUUGUAGGUUUCUAUUGAGGUUAAGGCCCAACUAUGAGUAUAUCAUAUCAGAUUCACGUUAUGAUUCUUAAUAAAAAAAAGCCCACCUACUUACCAACAAUUU